AGACACUAUCGAAUCAAUUGUCUCUUAUGGAAGUCAUUUUAAUGAACGCGCACAUCAGCUUGUGCAAUUAAUGUUUUGGGUUUUUUUUUUUUUUUUUUUUUUUUUUUUUUUUUUUAAAUUUAUUAUAUAAUAAAAAAAAAAAAUGUUUGAUAAAGUUAAUUAAUGUUAUUAUUUGAUUAUAUGUUUCGUACUAAUUUUGUUCCAAUUAAGUUGGAUUUAAUUUAUUUUCAAAUUUAUUAAAUUUUAUUGAAA
rnacentral:lncRNA from 1 species